rnacentral:sRNA from 1 species
ACAAUCAACCGUCUCCCAGCACUAACUAAGGGGAGAUCACUGAUGGACUACAGAAAACAGAUGCUGCACUGGGAUUUGAAAACCCUACAGCAUUUUUGUUUUUGGCCAUAGUACAAGAAGUGCAUCCCGAAAAAAGACUAGCAUCAUGCUUGAGAGCUGCUGAUUGGAACUACAGGAAGUUGAUUGCAUUAACUGCUGCAUAAGCCAGGCAUACAGGAAGGGUGAUUGGACAGACAGGAAAUUUGGGGUGUGAUGCGAGAGAGACCGCAUUACACAGAGGAAGGCCUACUUAACUGUAAAUGCAGAUAUGAAAGAUUAAGAUAUAUGGUGAAAUGUCACCUACUGUGGACUGAAGUCAUGCAAAGGCAGCCAAGCAGAAAGAAUGGUGUCAAUCUAAUUACAUCACUACCAACCAAAGUUAAUGUGAAAGAUAUGGAUUGCAGCAAAAACCACGAGUGUGAAAUCAUUUCAAUGGGAAAAAUUCUUACUGAAUGCCAGUUUCCAUAGGUUUGAAUAAUGAACAAACACUGCUUUUGAUAAUUUGUUGAGGAUGUAAAAUUGUGGGUGUGAGGUACCCAGGAAAUCCACACAAAAAUUAAGCCAACAUUUAUCGCAACUUUAAUCCUGAUGAUUUCAGAGUUACUCAUGGUAGGUCUAAUUGUAGGUGUGUCUGUGUGUCUUUAUUGAUGGUAUUUUGAUGUCUGAUGAAUAUAAAAGUGAUUAUGUUUACAUGAAGGUGCUCAAAGUUUAUCUUAAGAUGUUACUAUCACUUCAAUGAAAUAUAAUUUUGUUGUUUUGUUGUUUUGUUUUUAUGAAUAAUGAAAAAGAUUGCAUGAAUAUCAAGUUAGGGCAUCUUGAUUUCGAACAGUAUGUCUAAUUUCAUACAGGGGGUGUCUAUUGUCUACUAAGGUUGCAGGAAAGUCUAGCAAAUGCGUCUCAAUUUCUGAAAAUCUUAUGAAUGGGGGUGAUGUGUCUUAGUGCUAGCUCAGGGAAUAUAGCAGAUCACUAGGGACCUCAUUUACAUCUUGAGCAAUUGAAUUAAAGAGAGUCUAUUUUGCUUUCCUCCCUGUCCGAUCAGGUAAUACAGAAUCAUUAUUAUUGGGACAGUUAUAAUCUGCUAAUUUUUUCCCUGCAAGGCACAGUUUUUACUUGAAAAAACCAAAAACAGAAAUUGAGGUGAUAUGAAAAAUUAUAUCAUCUGUCAAUGUCUCGUUAAUUUCUUCUUUAGUUCUUCAAGAAUACAUUGACGCACUGUUACGUCUUAAAAAUGCAAAUCAGGAUAUUUUUUUUAAAACUACAGUAUGCCUUAAUGAAUAAUAUAUAAAAAUACAAGGUUCACAAUAUAGCUAUGUCAUGGAAAGUAAAAAUAAACUUGUUUUUCUUAAAGCUG